rnacentral:lncRNA from 1 species
AUACACCUAUGCGCACUUAAAUAGACCCACCUGACCGUAUGUCACCUAUUCUCUCCUUCUCUCAGGUUAUUAAAAUUGUUCGAUGCCGACAUUCUAAAAGCCACUUAAGGGAAGAAAAGUGAAUCACAAAAAUCUAGAAAAGAAAACUUAAUGAAAAAUUAUGGAUAGAAGAAAAAAAAAUAGAAAAGAAAAUUGUUCAAUAAUAUUAAAUAUACCUAGACAUUAACUUAGAAUAGAAGAAGAAAAACAUGAAAUUUAUGCGUAGUUAAUAAUAGAUUCUAAAGGGUGCAUCAUCGGUCUCAUUGUGUCCAUGGAAGGGUAUUGGUAAAAUACCUCUUCAUAACGCUUCUUUGUUAUUUUGCAUAUUUCUACAUUUCUUUAACAGUUAGAACGUGAAAUUGGGACCAACGACACCAACAGCUGUUUAAAAGUCUGUAAGUAGACACACAUAUACACACAUACACUCCGGGUCAGGAGAAUAGCGUCUACACAGUGAGACAUGCAUGCUUAACCAUAAAUAAAAUGGAUUAUUAUUAACGAUAAUCACUACAAUUAUGCCAUUUAAUUCAUUUAAUUAAUUAAUUCUUACUUUAUAUUUUGAUUAUAUUAUUUUUAUUCAUAUUUGAUCAUUCUCUUGAAUUCCUAUGUAUUAAAUUAGUCCCAC